UUAAAUUCAUGAAUUGGUAAUCUUACUUGCAACUGAUAUGGAAGCUUUCUAGUUUUGUGUCACCAAUUUCAAGAUUUCAGGAUAGCUCAGCAGUGGUAGACAGGAAAUUACAGGGAGAGAUUAUUUAAGGACUCUUUUUUUCUUUUUCUUUUUUUUUUCAAAAACUUUUGUUGUUGCUUCUCUGCCUUCUAGCUUUAAUAUCUUUAAUAGUACAACUUUUACAUUUGAGUUUAAAAAUACUGCUUCCAACUAUCAAUGCCAAGUACUUUUUUAAUGUGUUCG
rnacentral:lncRNA from 1 species